rnacentral:rRNA from 1 species
GACGAACGCUGGCGGCGUGCUUAACACAUGCAAGUCGAGCGGAAAGGCCCUUCGGGGUACUCGAGCGGCGAACGGGUGAGUAACACGUGAGCAACCUGCCCUAGGCUUUGGGAUAACCCCGGGAAACCGGGGCUAAUACCGAAUAGGACCUCCGGCCGCAUGGCUGGGGGUGGAAAGUUUUUCGGCCUGGGAUGGGCUGGCGGCCUAUCAGCUUGUUGGUGGGGUGAUGGCCUACCAAGGCGACGACGGGUAGCCGGCCUGAGAGGGCGACCGGCCACACUGGGACUGAGACACGGGCCAGACUCCUAGGGGAGGCAGCAGUGGGGAAUAUUGCACAAUGGGCGGAAGCCUGAUGCAGCGACGCCGCGUGAGGGAUGACGGCCUUCGGGUUGUAAACCUCUUUCAGCAGGGACGAAGCGUAAGUGACGGUACCUGCAGAAGAAGCGCCGGCCAACUACGUGCCAGCAGCCGCCGUAAUAC